rnacentral:lncRNA from 1 species
CUGUUAGUCCUGAAGGAGGAAGACUAGUGUCCCCUGAACAUGGCCAAGGAGAACAGCCUCUACUGCAGCCUGGAAGGGGCUGGUGCUGGGGGGCUUGGUCAUGGCAGUCAGAGCUGAAGCCCACCAUCCCAUCCAUCUGCCUCUAGACGGUGUUUAGGAGGAAUGGGCCAGGUCACCUGAGCAGUAAGUCAGCGGCUUUGGUGCCCGGAUCUUGUGGCAGUGGGCACCAUUUUGGUUAUGCUUUGCCAUACCCAUGUGGGGCUGGGCCAGCGUGGGCCAGAAACUGAGGCUAUCAGAGGAGCGACCUGGGAGCCUUGGAGACAGCCCUAGGACCUGCCCCAACCACAAGAACAACAACCCAAGAACUGCUUCCCUGUUUGAACUGGGCUCCGCAUUCCCCAAGGAGCCUGCUGGGAACCCGGGGUUGGAUGGAGUCCUUGCCUUCCUUCCUCGCAGUAGUCGCAGACCCAGGGCGUGGCCAUCCUCUGGGGACGUGGCCCGAGGCCCUCAUGUCACUGCGGCUAGGAGCAACUCACUGUCCCCUGCCUUUUCAAGGGCCUCAGUCCCUUCUCUCCUUCUGACUGUGAGCACCGGUAGGAAUUGUGGAGCCAGGUAACAUCAAAACAAAGUGCAGAAUUAACUUCUUCAUCUUUCAAAUUUAAUAUUAAUAUUUAAUUUUGGUUUUUUGAGAGAGAGAGUCUCGCUAUGCAAUCCAGGCUGGCCUUGAACUCACUGUGUAACUCAUGCUGGCUUCGAACUCACAGCGAUCCUCGUGCCCCAGGAUAAUUUUUACUUUGGACAUAAGUUUUUUUUUUCUUUUUUUGGUUCUGGGGAUUGAACUUGGGUCCUUGCGCUUGCGCAGCAGGUGGGGAAACCACUGAGCUAAAUCCUGGCCCCUGGACAUAAGUUUUAUGUUAGUCGUGUGGAGGUGUUUCGAGCAGACACAGGGCUUUUCUGGACAUUCCCACAGGAGUUUCUAAGCACAUCGAAAAAAUUUCCUCAGGGCACAUGCACGGGAGUGGAAUUUCUGCAUGAACCAUGCAUUUUCUUAACAUCACUGCAUGAUGCUGAAAAGCUCUUCGAGAUGGCCAGGGCUCCCUGUCCCUGGCCCCAGUGGGUCCUGUGUUGGCCAUUCAUAGCAUUUUAUUAUGACAAAAAUAAAUAUAACAU